rnacentral:rRNA from 1 species
UACGUAGGGGGCGAGCGUUGUCCGGAGUCAUUGGGCGUAAAGCGCGUGUAGGCGGCCCGGUAAGUCCGCUGUGAAAGUCCAGGGCUCAACCCUGGGAUGCCGGUGGAUACUGUCGGGCUCGAGUCCGGAAGAGGCGAGUGGAAUUCCUGGUGUAGCGGUGAAAUGCGCAGAUAUCAGGAGGAACACCAAUGGCGAAGGCAGCUCGCUGGGACGUGACUGACGCUGAGACGCGAAAGCGUGGGGAGCAAACAGG